AUUGAACGCUGGCGGCAGGCCUAACACAUGCAAGUCGAGCGGAUGAAGGGAGCUUGCUCCUGGAUUCAGCGGCGGACGGGUGAGUAAUGCCUAGGAAUCUGCCUGGUAGUGGGGGAUAACGUCCGGAAACGGGCGCUAAUACCGCAUACGUCCUGAGGGAGAAAGUGGGGGAUCUUCGGACCUCACGCUAUCAGAUGAGCCUAGGUCGGAUUAGCUAGUUGGUGGGGUAAAGGCCUACCAAGGCGACGAUCCGUAACUGGUCUGAGAGGAUGAUCAGUCAAACUGGAACUGAGACACGGUCCAGACUCCUACGGGAGGCAGCAGUGGGGAAUAUUGGACAAUGGGCGAAAGCCUGAUCCAGCCAUGCCGCGUGUGUGAAGAAGGUCUUCGGAUUGUAAAGCACUUUAAGUUGGGAGGAAGGGCAGUAAGUUAAUACCUUGCUGUUUGACGUUACCAACAGAAUAAGCACCGGCUAACUUCGUG
rnacentral:rRNA from 1 species